rnacentral:rRNA from 1 species
AGCCCAGAGCCUGAAUCAGUGUGUGUGUUAGUGGAAGCGUCUGGAAAGGCGCGCGAUACAGGGUGACAGCCCCGUACACAAAAAUGCACAUGCUGUGAGCUCGAUGAGUAGGGCGGGACACGUGGUAUCCUGUCUGAAUAUGGGGGGACCAUCCUCCAAGGCUAAAUACUCCUGACUGACCGAUAGUGAACCAGUACCGUGAGGGAAAGGCGAAAAGAACCCCGGCGAGGGGAGUGAAAAAGAACCUGAAACCGUGUACGUACAAGCAGUGGGAGCACGCUUAGGCGUGUGACUGCGUACCUUUUGUAUAAUGGGUCAGCGACUUAUAUUCUGUAGCAAGGUUAACCGAAUAGGGGAGCCGAAGGGAAACCGAGUCUUAACUGGGCGUUAAGUUGCAGGGUAUAGACCCGAAACCCGGUGAUCUAGCCAUGGGCAGGUUGAAGGUUGGGUAACACUAACUGGAGGACCGAACCGACUAAUGUUGAAAAAUUAGCGGAUGACUUGUGGCUGGGGGUGAAAGGCCAAUCAAACCGGGAGAUAGCUGGUUCUCCCCGAAAGCUAUUUAGGUAGCGCCUCGUGAACUCAUCUCCGGGGGUAGAGCACUGUUUCGGCAAGGGGGUCAUCCCGACUUACCAACCCGAUGCAAACUGCGAAUACCGGAGAAUGUUAUCACGGGAGACACACGGCGGGUGCUAACGUCCGUCGUGAAGAGGGAAACAACCCAGACCGCCAGCUAAGGUCCCAAAGUCAUGGUUAAGUGGGAAACGAUGUGGGAAGGCCCAGACAGCCAGGAUGUUGGCUUAGAAGCAGCCAUCAUUUAAAGAAAGCGUAAUAGCUCACUGGUCGAGUCGGCCUGCGCGGAAGAUGUAACGGGGCUAAACCAUGCACCGAAGCUGCGGCAGCGACGCUUAUGCGUUGUUGGGUAGGGGAGCGUUCUGUAAGCCUGUGAAGGUGUGCUGUGAGGCAUGCUGGAGGUAUCAGAAGUGCGAAUGCUGACAUAAGUAACGAUAAAGCGGGUGAAAAGCCCGCUCGCCGGAAGACCAAGGGUUCCUGUCCAACGUUAAUCGGGGCAGGGUGAGUCGACCCCUAAGGCGAGGCCGAAAGGCGUAGUCGAUGGGAAACAGGUUAAUAUUCCUGUACUUGGUGUUACUGCGAAGGGGGGACGGAGAAGGCUAUGUUGGCCGGGCGACGGUUGUCCCGGUUUAAGCGUGUAGGCUGGUUUUCCAGGCAAAUCCGGAAAAUCAAGGCUGAGGCGUGAUGACGAGGCACUACGGUGCUGAAGCAACAAAUGCCCUGCUUCCAGGAAAAGCCUCUAAGCAUCAGGUAACAUCAAAUCGUACCCCAAACCGACACAGGUGGUCAGGUAGAGAAUACCAAGGCGCUUGAGAGAACUCGGGUGAAGGAACUAGGCAAAAUGGUGCCGUAACUUCGGGAGAAGGCACGCUGAUAUGUAGGUGAAGUCCCU